GAAAGUUGACCUUGGUAGUUUAUCUUGUUUUUGCAAGGACUUGCUUUGCAAGCAGGUGUUAUCUCCCACAUACUCUAGGAACCUCCGGGACUAUUCCCUUUCUGCUGCAUAGUAAUUCCAGGAGAUGUCUGGGGAGUAGAAGUCCCCCAUGAGAACGAGGUAGAGACCAUGAGACUUCACUCAACUGUCUGUAGAGCCAGAUUCUAAGUUUCUGUGCUACAAAUAAUGUGUUUGACUUAAUCCAUUUGGCAGAAGAAUUUCAUUUUCCUGACCCAGUGACUUCUGUAGCAUUCCUCUGAAAGCUUCUCUUGGAGCUGGCACUCUGUAUGGAGGAACUUGGCAGAGGAAAAACCCUUCAAUUCUCAGCUCCGUGAGUGGGGAAGGCAGAAGGCGUACUUGGUCAACAGGGACCCUAUUGCUUUCAGUAUCGCACCUGAAGACUCAGGAUCCCGAGUCUGAAAUGAAGCUCUCUUCUGUAGAUGUGUAGCCUCUCAGGUUUGAGUUGUGAGUUACUUUCUCAAACUUCAUGAUAUUUAAUGUCAGUUGCUUGAUUCAUUGUGAUGCAGAAUAUUUUCUCUUUAUUUUUGCUGUCAUUGCAAAAUAUGGGAAGAAAACUCGCUAACUCUAAUGUGAUGCUAGAAAGCAGCAUUUCCUUAUUCUUUUGGUAUGUACUGGGUGACUUAAGAAAUCAAGCGCAUGCGCACACAGUUCAGGUUCUGCAUUUAAACAGAUAAGACAUACAGAUGCCAUAUACUGGCAUACGUAUUCUUUUCCAAGAACUCAUUAAUAUAUGCUAACAUCCCUCUGAGCGUGUGUGGUCAUGUCUAUGUUGGUCAUACUACCACCUCUGUCCUCCUCUUUAUCUCUCCUUCAGCUUCAUCAUGGUGUCCUUUGGCUGACCUUUUAGCUGUUUUUCCCCAGUUUGGCAAAUUUCCAUGGCAUGUUAUGCUAUAAUGCGCAACUUUCUAUCUUGGUGCACUAUAACUCAAAACAAUUUACAUGAAACCUAAGAAAAAGUCCUUGCACAUGGUGGAUGCGAAGAUAAACGUAGCUUAUUGUGAUUUGAGUGCUUCAGUGAAGAAGGGAUCAUUUGGAAAAACAAGACUGUGCACAUACCAACCAAAGCUAAAUGGAAAACUUUAGAACUAUCACACAUUAAUUCCUUUUUGCUAAAUUAAUAUAUUGGCCCUUAAGUUAAUGUAUUGAUCCCUGUUGCUAAGCCAACUUAC